UACCCGCGGCAAGACGGAAAGACCCCGUGAACCUUUACUAUAGCUUGACACUGAACAUUGAGCCUUGAUGUGUAGGAUAGGUGGGAGGCUUUGAAGUGUGGACGCCAGUCUGCAUGGAGCCGACCUUGAAAUACCACCCUUUAAUGUUUGAUGUUCUAACGUUGGCCCCUAAUCGGGGUUGCGGACAGUGUCUGGUGGGUAGUUUGACUGGGGCGGUCUCCUCCUAAAGAGUAACGGAGGAGCACGAAGGUUGGCUAAUCCUGGUCGGACAUCAGGAGGUUAGUGCAAUGGCAUAAGCCAGCUUGACUGCGAGCGUGACGGCGCGAGCAGGUGCGAAAGCAGGUCAUAGUGAUCCGGUGGUUCUGAAUGGAAGGGCCAUCGCUCAACGGAUAAAAGGUACUCCGGGGAUAACAGGCUGAUACCGCCCAAGAGUUCAUAUCGACGGCGGUGUUUGGCACCUCGAUGUCGGCUCAUCACAUCCUGGGGCUGAAGUAGGUCCCAAGGGUAUGGCUGUUCGCCAUUUAAAGUGGUACGCGAGCUGGGUUUAGAACGUCGUGAGACAGUUCGGUCCCUAUCUGCCGUGGGCGCUGGAGAACUGAGGGGGGCUGCUCCUAGUACGAGAGGACCGGAGUGGACGCAUCACUGGUGUUCGGGUUGUCAUGCCAAUGGCACUGCCCGGUAGCUAAAUGCGGAAGAGAUAAGUGCUGAAAGCAUCUAAGCACGAAACUUGCCCCG
rnacentral:rRNA from 1 species